rnacentral:rRNA from 1 species
GUGGGGAAUAUUGGGCAAUGGGCGAAAGCCUGACCCAGCAACGCCGCGUGAAGGAAGAAGGUCUUCGGAUCGUAAACUUCUAUCCUUGGUGAAGAUAAUGACGGUAGCCGAGAAGGAAGCCCCGGCUAACUACGUGCCAGCAGCCGCGGUAAUACGUAGGGGGCAAGCGUUGUCCGGAAUGAUUGGGCGUAAAGGGCGCGUAGGCGGCCUGGUAAGUCUGGAGUGAAAGUCCUGCUUUUAAGGUGGGAAUUGCUUUGGAUACUGUCGGGCUUGAGUGCAGGAGAGGUAAGUGGAAUUCCCGGUGUAGCGGUGAAAUGCGUAGAGAUCGGGAGGAACACCAGUGGCGAAGGCGACUUACUGGACUGUAACUGACGCUGAGGCGCGAAAGCGUGGGGAGCAAACAGGAUUAGAUACCCCAGUAGUCC